rnacentral:rRNA from 1 species
CGCCGCCGCGGGAAAACGUAGGGUGCAAGCGUUAAUCGGAAUUACUGGGCGUAAAGCGUACGCAGGCGGUUAUAUAAGUCAGAUGUGAAAUCCCCGGGCUCAACCUGGGAACUGCAUUUGAGACUGUAUGGCUAGAGUGUGUCAGAGGGGGGUAGAAUUCCACGUGUAGCAGUGAAAUGCGUAGAUAUGUGGAGGAAUACCGAUGGCGAAGGCAGCCCCCUGGGAUAACACUGACGCUCAUGCACGAAAGCGUGGGGAGCAAACAGGAUUAGAUACCCGAGUAGUCCCUGUCUCUUAUACA